AAAUUGAAGAGUUUGAUCAUGGCUCAGAUUGAACGCUGGCGGCAGGCCUAACACAUGCAAGUCGAACGGUAACAGGAAACAGCUUGCUGUUUCGCUGACGAGUGGCGGACGGGUGAGUAAUGUCUGGGAAACUGCCUGAUGGAGGGGGAUAACUACUGGAAACGGUAGCUAAUACCGCAUAACGUCGCAAGACCAAAGAGGGGGACCUUCGGGCCUCUUGCCAUCGGAUGUGCCCAGAUGGGAUUAGCUUGUUGGUGGGGUAACGGCUCACCAAGGCGACGAUCCCUAGCUGGUCUGAGAGGAUGACCAGCCACACUGGAACUGAGACACGGUCCAGACUCCUACGGGAGGCAGCAGUGGGGAAUAUUGCACAAUGGGCGCAAGCCUGAUGCAGCCAUGCCGCGUGUAUGAAGAAGGCCUUCGGGUUGUAAAGUACUUUCAGCGGGGAGGAAGGGGGUAAAGUUAAUACCUUUGCUCAUUGACGUUACCCGCAGAAGAAGCACCGGCUAACUCCGUGCCAGCAGCCGCGGUAAUACGGAGGGUGCAAGCGUUAAUCGGAAUUACUGGGCGUAAAGCGCACGCAGGCGGUUUGUUAAGUCAGAUGUGAAAUCCCCGGGCUCAACCUGGGAACUGCAUCUGAUACUGGCAAGCUUGAGUCUCGUAGAGGGGGGUAGAAUUCCAGGUGUAGCGGUGAAAUGCGUAGAGAUCUGGAGGAAUACCGGUGGCGAAGGCGGCCCCCUGGACGAAGACUGACGCUCAGGUGCGAAAGCGUGGGGAGCAAACAGGAUUAGAUACCCUGGUAGUCCACGCCGUAAACGAUGUCGACUUGGAGGUUGUGCCCUUGAGGCGUGGCUUCCGGAGCUAACGCGUUAAGUCGACCGCCUGGGGAGUACGGCCGCAAGGUUAAAACUCAAAUGAAUUGACGGGGGCCCGCACAAGCGGUGGAGCAUGUGGUUUAAUUCGAUGCAACGCGAAGAACCUUACCUGGUCUUGACAUCCACAGAACUUUCCAGAGAUGGAUUGGUGCCUUCGGGAACUGUGAGACAGGUGCUGCAUGGCUGUCGUCAGCUCGUGUUGUGAAAUGUUGGGUUAAGUCCCGCAACGAGCGCAACCCUUAUCCUUUGUUGCCAGCGGUCCGGCCGGGAACUCAAAGGAGACUGCCAGUGAUAAACUGGAGGAAGGUGGGGAUGACGUCAAGUCAUCAUGGCCCUUACGACCAGGGCUACACACGUGCUACAAUGGCGCAUACAAAGAGAAGCGACCUCGCGAGAGCAAGCGGACCUCAUAAAGUGCGUCGUAGUCCGGAUUGGAGUCUGCAACUCGACUCCAUGAAGUCGGAAUCGCUAGUAAUCGUGGAUCAGAAUGCCACGGUGAAUACGUUCCCGGGCCUUGUACACACCGCCCGUCACACCAUGGGAGUGGGUUGCAAAAGAAGUAGGUAGCUUAACCUUCGGGAGGGCGCUUACCACUUUGUGAUUCAUGACUGGGGUGAAGUCGUAACAAGGUAACCGUAGGGGAACCUGCGGUUGGAUCACCUCCUUA
rnacentral:rRNA from 1 species